rnacentral:tRNA from 1 species
GGGAGUGUGACUCAGUGGUGGAGUGUUUGUCUAGCAUGUAUGGGGCACUGGGUUCGAUCCUCAGCACCACA